UUCAACUUGCCCUAACUAGGUUUUGCUCUCGUCGUAGAGAUCUGCGGAAGGGAUCUGCGUGCUUCAUUUGCGCCAUGGUAAAGUGGGUUUUUCUCUCGUCGCAGAGAUCUGCGUGCUUGUUUCUUGCCAUGGGAGAAGCGAAAUGCAAAUUUUUUAUUUGGGCGAAUAUACUUCACAAACUAGAGGAGAACAUUCGUACAAGAGAGAAUAAAGUUUGGAAGAUAUGGGAUGACGUAUUGCUGCGCGAGUAUGAAGUUCGAAAAAGGGAAGAUAAAGUACAAGAGAGAGAGAGACAACUCUUCCGAAGGAAAAGUAAAAAUUAUUGUGUUUGUACUGGUACAUUUGUAAUAGUUUUGGCUUGGUUCAGAUAAAUAGUAUGUAAAUAGCACGUUGUAUGGAGUAGAUGAAAAUUUUUGAAUGCACCAACUGUAAUGGUACUUCUCAAGUUGUGACCUUUGUAAUGACCUUUCAAUGAAAAGUUGUGUAAUGAAAACAGCUUAGCUCCAGACUGGUUUCCUUACUUUUCAAUGAAAUUUUUAUAGUCAAUAUUGGUAA